rnacentral:misc_RNA from 1 species
GAGAAGAACGCAGCGAAAUGCGAUAAGUAAUGUGAAUUGCAGAAUUCAGUGAAUCAUCGAAUCUUUGAACGCACAUUGCGCCCGGCAGUACUCUGCCGGGCAUGCCUGUUCGAGCGUCAUUUCAACCCUCAAGCCCUGCUUGGUGUUGGGGCCCUACGGCUGCCGUAGGCCCCGAAAGGAAGUGGCGGGCUCGCUACAACUCCGAGCGUAGUAACUCAUUAUCUCGCUUAGGGCGUUGGGCGGCGCUCCAGCCGUUAAAGAACCAUCUUUAACUCAAGGUUGACCUCGGAUCAGGUAGGAAUACCCGCUGAACUUAAGCAUAUCAAUAAGCGGAGGA